GAUUCAGCAGAUUUCACAAUGCAUUAGAAAAGCACAACCAGCAAUAAGAAUGCAGGACUUUUGAAGUACCCUGUGGAGUUUAAAGGAAAACUGCAUCUUCUCUAGAAUGUUAGAAGAAGCCUCCAGAGUAUCACCAGAAGAUGCUUGUAACAGUUCAGAGGCUGGCAUGUGAUUUGCUCCCAUGACUGUUUGCAGUGACAGAUCUUUGGAGUCAGGACUUUUUGAUAAAAGAAAUUGCAUUGUUUCACCAGCUGCAUGGUUGGUAUGCAAGGAGAGCCAGGCAGGCUGGGUCACCUGAGCUGGAAAUCAUGGCUCCACUUACUUACAUCACAAGUUUGUGAAGUCCAUGUAUAUGCCCUAAUUAGAUUUCAAAUGUCUGAACUCAACAUUGUGUAGUACAAAGGCCACCAAAAUGGGAGAUGUU